rnacentral:lncRNA from 1 species
AUGCCAGAAACACCUUCCUCAUUCAAACCUAACAGGCCUAAUUCUCUAUUAUAUUGUAGCUCAAUUGCCCUCCAGCAACAUAAAAGGCCUAAGGAGGCCAGAAAUAGCCUCUGGGGAACAAUCUCCGUCAGAAGAUGCUCAUCCGGACCAUCUGUUGGCAUACUGCAGCGUCUCAGCGAUGGCUCACUCCACCUGGCUCAUAGACCUCCACCCAGGGCCUUUGUUGGGAAAGGGCCAUGUAUCAUUCACCACACCUGAGGGAUUCACCACCACCUGUGGAUCUCCCUGAGUCUACAAAACAUGGUCUGAAAACCCCAAGCCAAAAUCAAAGCAGAAAGAAUGCAAGGAAGUGAAGUGUGGAAACGUUUCCUGAUUUGCUAAAGUCACCAGAGAGUCUGUGUGAUAGCUCAGGGCUGAACUCAGAUCUUUAAAGUCUUAGCCUGUGCUUUAAAAACAACUUUGCUCUCAGCUCCCAGGAAAUGUAUGGCUAGAUAGUACCUUCUGGAUGCUUCAUUUAGGGUCCCUGAAAAGAGUUUGUCAAUGAUAGUCAUCUCAAAAAGAAGUGUUCCAACAAAACACAGUUAUAUGUUACUCAGGUGUGCACUAAUUUUAAUAAUUCAUAUACACAUUUCUCUCUCUGGAGAAUAUGACCCAAAAGUAAUGACUUGCCAGACAGAAUAUCCUUUAUUCUCUUAGUCUGAGAGCAGUUAAUCUGGUCAUGAGUAAAUAUCAGUAUUAUCUAAAGGGUUUAUACUGAUGUGGAUGGUAUGGAUGGGAAAACACUUCUUGUCCUAGCUGUUGAUGUCCUACUGUAACUGAACUACAGUGUCUGGGUUUAAGUUUCAUAAACAGUGCAGGAGUUUUCUCAGUAAUUUUUAUAAUAAAUAUGAGUGACUGACAAUAUACCCCCGUAAG